rnacentral:rRNA from 1 species
CAGGCUACACAUGCAAGUCGAGCGCUCACUUCGGUGGGAGCGGCGGACGGGUUAGUAACGCGUGGGAACGUACCCUUCUCUACGGAAUAGCCUCGGGAAACUGAGAGUAAUACCGUAUACGCCCUUUGGGGGAAAGAUUUAUCGGAGAAGGAUCGGCCCGCGUUAGAUUAGAUAGUUGGUGGGGUAAUGGCCUACCAAGUCUACGAUCUAUAGCUGGUUUUAGAGGAUGAUCAGCAACACUGGGACUGAGACACGGCCCAGACUCCUACGGGAGGCAGCAGUGGGGAAUCUUAGACAAUGGGCGCAAGCCUGAUCUAGCCAUGCCGCGUGUGUGAUGAAGGCCCUAGGGUCGUAAAGCACUUUCGCCAGGGAUGAUAAUGACAGUACCUGGUAAAGAAACCCCGGCUAACUCCGUGCCAGCAGCCGCGGUAAUACGGAGGGGGUUAGCGUUGUUCGGAAUUACUGGGCGUAAAGCGCGCGUAGGCGGAUCAGAAAGUAUGGGGUGAAAUCCCGGGGCUCAACCUCGGAACUGCCUCAUAAACUACUGGUCUAGAGUUCGAGAGAGGUGAGUGGAAUUCCGAGUGUAGAGGUGAAAUUCGUAGAUAUUCGGAGGAACACCAGUGGCGAAGGCGGCUCACUGGCUCGAUACUGACGCUGAGGUGCGAAAGUGUGGGGAGCAAACAGGAUUAGAUACCCUGGUAGUCCACACCGUAAACGAUGAAUGCCAGUCGUCGGCAAGCAUGCUUGUCGGUGACACACCUAACGGAUUAAGCAUUCCGCCUGGGGAGUACGG